rnacentral:lncRNA from 1 species
AGUGAUAGUGUUUGAGGUACAGUAGUAGGCCCAGUAGGACAGCAUUGGGUGGUUGGUCUCGGGUGACUUGGAUAUACAGUCGGCUUCUAUGGCAUUAGAGGGACUUUGGAUUCAGGUGGAGCACUGGAUGGAGAUGGCUUCACAGGUGCAGAGGGUUUUGGCACAUAUUCAGAGUAGAAAGGUGCAAGAGGAGGAGUGAUAUCCUAGCACCAGCAUCAGGUUUGCAUAGAGCCAGAUGGAGAGGAGUGUACAGAUAGAGAGGCAUGGCUCGG